rnacentral:tRNA from 1 species
GGGCGAUUAGCUCAGCGGUAGAGCAUCCCGUUUACACCGGGCAGGCCGGGAGUUCGAUCCUCUCAUCGCCCACCA